rnacentral:rRNA from 1 species
UACGGAGGGGACUAGCGUUGUUCGGAAUUACUGGGCGUAAAGCGCACGUAGGCGGAUUUGUAAGUCAGGGGUGAAAUCCCGGGGCCCAACCUCGGAACUGCCUUUGAUACUGCAAAUCUCGAGUCCGGAAGAGGUGAGUGGAAUUCCUAGUGUAGAGGUGAAAUUCGUAGAUAUUAGGAAGAACACCAGUGGCGAAGGCGGCUCACUGGCCCGGUACUGACGCUGAGGCGCGAAAGCGUGGGGAGCAAACAGG